AACGAACGCUGGCGGCGUGCCUAACACAUGCAAGUCGAGCGCGAAAAGGGCAACCUGAGUAGAGCGGCGCACGGGUGCGUAACACGUGGGUAAUCUGCCUUAGAGUCGAGGAUAACCUUCCGAAAGGUUGGCUAAUACUCGGUAAGCUUACGGUGUCUUCGGACGCUGUGGGAAAAGUAGGCCUCUGUUUACAAGCUUACGCUCUGAGAUGAGCCCGCGGCCCAUCAGCUAGUUGGCGGUGUAACGGACCACCAAGGCAACGACGGGUAGCUGGUCGGAGAGGACGAUCAGCCACACUGGAACUGAGACACGGUCCAGACGCCUACGGGAGGCAGCAGUGGGGAAUUUUCCACAAUGGGCGAAAGCCUGAUGGAGCAACGCCGCGUGUGUGAUGAAGGUUUUCGGAUCGUAAAGCACUUUCGACUGGGACGAAAAACCUUUGGCUAACAUCCAGGGGCCUGACGGUACCAGGAGAAGAAGCACCGGCUAACUCUGUGCCAGCAGCCGCGGUAAUAC
rnacentral:rRNA from 1 species